GACGAACGCUGGCGGCGUGCUUAACACAUGCAAGUCGAACGGAAAGGCCCUGCUUUUGUGGGGUGCUCGAGUGGCGAACGGGUGAGUAACACGUGAGUAACCUGCCCUUGACUUUGGGAUAACUUCAGGAAACUGGGGCUAAUACCGGAUAGGAGCUCCUGCUGCAUGGUGGGGGUUGGAAAGUUUCGGCGGUUGGGGAUGGACUCGCGGCUUAUCAGCUUGUUGGUGGGGUAGUGGCUUACCAAGGCUUUGACGGGUAGCCGGCCUGAGAGGGUGACCGGCCACAUUGGGACUGAGAUACGGCCCAGACGCCUACGGGAGGCAGCAGUGGGGAAUAUUGCACAAGGGGCGGAAGCCUGAUGCAGCAACGCCGCGUGCGGGAUGACGGCCUUCGGGUUGUAAACCGCUUUCGCCUGUGACGAAGCGUGAGUGACGGUAAUGGGUAAAGAAGCACCGGCUAACUACGUG
rnacentral:rRNA from 1 species